GCGCGGUCGCCCAGCCUUUGCCGCAGCGGCCCGGGAAGCGGCCGCUGCACGGGCCUCUCCGGGUGGCGCAGGGACAGCGGCUUCUGGGAACGCGGCGGAUGGUCCGGGUGUCUCCGACUCCGCUGGGGCUCUGAGGACCACCCCGCCACCUUCCCAGGGAGUCUGGAAAGGUCACCCCCAGAGUCACAAGAGGACUUGGAGCGCAGUUUGGGGGCCGGGUUUCCGAUUUCAAAUCAUGGAGGUCAUCCUUAGGAGUUCAAGGAAGCGAACCUCCGAGUGAUCUCCCCUCAGAGCCCUGAUAUCCAGGCCUGGGGGUCACUGUGCAGGGACCCCCAAAUAGGCAUUAGAGGAAGGUGGGGGCCGUCAAGCUAAGACUACAGCUACAAUCCAGACCUCACCCAAGCAGGCGGGGCACCCUGGGCAGAAGCAGCCCCGGGGAUCUGGAGGUGCUGUUUCAGGAGGAUGACCCCUACAAUCCCCUGCACCCCUUUAUGUCCCUGAUGUCACCUUCUACCCCUCUUUCCUCCCACUCCACUCUGGCUGUUCAGGCCCUCCUGCUGUUCCCAACACAGGGAACCCAUUCCUGCCUCGGGACCUUGGCCCCUGCCCUCCCCUCUACCCCUGCUCUCCCUGCUGCCCCGCCACUCUCCCUCCGCCUCCAUGGCUCCAAUGUCACCUUCGUUAGGUCUUGUGUCGCUUCAGGGCAAACUGCCUCCCCGGCUCCUAACUUGACCUCCUUUACUCUUGUUGAAUGUUUUUCAUAGCAGCCUCACUACCUGACAUUUUGUUUUUGUUUUUUUUCUUAGACAGGGUCUGGCUCUGUUGCCCAGGAUGAAGUACAGUGGCGUGAUCUCGGCUCACUGCAACCUCUGCCUCCCGGGUUCAAGAGAUUCUCCUGCCACAACCUCCGGAGCAGCUGGGAGUACAGGCGCGAACCAUCAUGCCUGGCUACUUUUUUAAUUUUUUAGUAGAGACAGGGUUUCACCAUGUUGGUCAGGCUCGUCUGGAACGCCUGCCCUCGGAUGAUCCGUCCGCAUCAGCCUCCCAAAUGCUGGGAUUACAGGUGAGGACACUGUCUUGUGUACCACCAUGUCUCUUGCACCUUGAACUGUUCCUGGCACAUUGCAGAUGAAGAAACUAAGGAUGGGAGGGCCACUCCCUUGCCCAUAGUCAUGUAGCUGGCCUAGGAUGGAUGUGGAAUCCUGCCCCAGCAGUGGUGGUAUUAUUAUACCCAUGUUACAGAUACAGAAGACUGAGGCUCAGCAUGGGUACCUUGCCAUGAUCACACAGCUAGAGGGUAAGAGGGGCUGGCUCUGCCUCCUAUGCCACUCCUGAUCCACUCUCCAAUCCCUCCUCCAGUCCCCUGCCCCAAGCCAUCAGUUAGGAUGAUUCUUAUAGCCAGAGGUGUGACAUGCCAAAGGUGUCUCUUUACCCCAUCCACUCACUCUGGAACCAGGACAAGGUUUCAGUGAGGUGGACCUGCGUUCUAUCUGGACCAGGGACUUUGCCUCCAAGCUCAUUUCCUCAUCUGUAAAACAGGGAUCCAACAAACCAUCAGCCUGAAUGGGCUGUGGUGGGGUCCUGAGGGGGUUAGGACUUUGCAUCUAAAUGUGGAGACCCCAGGGGUCAGGCCUGGAGUCUGCCUCCCUGCUGGGUAGCCUCAGGCGUGUACAUCUUUGUCUCCACCUCAUGGAGUCACUGUGAGAAUAAAAUGAACAUCAGAUCUUGGCACAGA